rnacentral:tRNA from 1 species
CUAUUAUGAAUUCAAGACAAGCCGCUAUGGUGAAAUUGGUAGA